UCCCUGGUGGCUGAGAUGGUAAAGAACCUGCCUGCAAUGCAGGAGACCCAGGUUUGAUCCCUAGGUGGGGAA
rfam:TPA: Bos taurus chromosome 4, whole genome shotgun sequence.